GAUUAUUCAGAAACGAAAUAUCCAGAAAUAAUAUAUUAUUUUGAUUUAUUUGUGUAUUUUACUAUAUUUUUUAUAUAGGGCUGUUUUUCAGUACAAUAUAAACAUAUCCCCGACCAUCAAGCACUCUUAUCCAAUUAAACUUUUUUACGGAUUUAUUUUUUUCUUUUAGCUUACAUAACCGUAAAACAACACAUAAACCAAUUUACAUAUUUAUAACAUGCAAUUCUAGUGUUCAGACAGAUUUGAAAAAUGUUUAAUCAAAAGUAAAUGUAUAGGUUUCGAAAUGCAAUUUGCAAUUCUUAAUAAAAAUUUUGAU
rnacentral:misc_RNA from 1 species